AAGCAGUCAGGGCUGGCUGUCCGGGAAGCGAUACCGAGGUCAGCUCUAGAGAGGUCGGUGAGGCAGAUACGGCAGGCCGUGACCAGGUUGUUCUCAUGGUUGGCUCUCUUCAGUCUGUCUUUAAAAUGACCAGCCAUAAAGUCUGUGAUAAAGAUGGGGAGCUAACUGGGACAAAGAACAGAUGGUGAAAAGGAAAUUGACACCACAAGGCAGAGAACAGCCCUGCAGCCCGGGCUUGUAGGGCUUCCGGACUUUUCCAUCUGCCUGUGACCAGAAAUGUAGCAGAAGACCCAGGCUGGGCAGGAGAGUUAGGCAGGCUUGCUGAGCACUGGGCCACGGUAAGGCAGAGGCUCGGUCGGUUGGCUCCCCAGGGCCUGCACCCCUAACCUCUCAAGUUCUUGGCUUCCUUCCCGGUUAGCGUAACCGUUCCUUCUCAUUGUGUGAAGGUGUGUCUCUGUGUUUACAGCUGUCAUUUCUGUACCUGUAGAAAGCCAAGUGUUGGCAGGAUUCUGGCAUUGUCCUUUCUAUGCCCCACCAACUGGAUUUUCUACUUUACAAAUAUUCGUCCUUCCCCAUGUGCCUAAGGCAAUCUAGAAUAGAUUCAGAGAUUGCCUCACUACUGAUCCGUUGUAAUAAGGAGCAGGAAGGAGGAGGGUGCAGAAAGAAUGGUGCAGGGGAAGAAAGCAGAAGCAGAGGGAUGCAGAGUGGACGCGGAGGGAAGAGACACUGACUGCAGCAGAGCAGAGGCGUGUGGCGUGGGGCUUACGUCACGUGACAACUGAAGGUUGCCCUAGCGGAAGGCCUAAGCUUUGAACCAUAAUAAGAAUCUCAGGUCAUUAUUUAUACCACUGGUAGGUCGCAGGAAGUUCUGUUCUUCUUCCUCAUCUGCCCCUUCAGUGCUUCUUAGGGUGUUAGCUGGGAAGGAGGGAUAGGGACCUGCCUCAGCCUCCAGUGGCAGCACUGAGCACAGAGGAGCUUGGCUGGCCCUUGACCUUGUCAUGAUGGUGGCAAGGACCUGGAGUGCUGGCAGCAUACCUCAGCUCUAGUUCAAAAGUCUCAGAGCCAGAAAAGCCCCGGUAUAACUCAGCUAAAGACCCAGGAACUCAGGACUGCUGGGGCAUUCAAGUCCUGACAUCAUGGCAGCACAAGGAAGGCCUGUCUCUGAGUGCUGAGCCUGCCUCAGAGGGCAGGGCUGCCCUGGAGACAGAGACACACCCAGAACAGAGCUUCACCAGCUUUCUAGGGAUUCCUAAUCCAGUCAAGCCCAUACCAACACGUCUUGAUGCAUGGCUUUGGGCAGUUGUCCUAAAGUCUGAGUCCCGGCAGGUGGGCUUUACCUGUAACUUGCAGUAGGAUCCAGGAUCCCCCAGAUGUGCAUGGACCAGGGCUGGGGACCAAGGCUCACCAGCCUGCUUCCAUGAGGAUCCUCUAUGCACCAAAGGAAGGCACCACCUAAUCAUCUGUGUCUUGCCAGAGUCUGGUCGAGCUCAGAGGGUCCCUUCGUGGAAAGAGUCUCGGUGGACGCCAA